rnacentral:rRNA from 2 species
AAAUAGCAUAUCAAUAAGCGGAGGAAAAGAAACCAACAGGGAUUGCCUUAGUAACGGCGAGUGAAGCGGCAACAGCUCAAAUUUGAAAGCUGGUCCUUUCAGGGCCCGCGUUGUAAUUUGUAGAGGAUGAUUCGGCGAGGGCUCCCGCCUAAGUCCCCUGGAACGGGGCGUCAUAGAGGGUGAGAAUCCCGUAUGCGGUGGGCUGCCUUAGCCAUGUGAAUCUCCUUCGACGAGUCGAGUUGUUUGGGAAUGCAGCUCUAAAUGGGAGGUAAAUUUCUUCUAAAGCUAAAUACCGGCCAGAGACCGAUAGCGCACAAGUAGAGUGAUCGAAAGAUGAAAAGCACUUUGGAAAGAGAGUUAAAAAGUACGUGAAAUUGUUGAAAGGGAAGCGCUUGCAACCAGACUUGUCCGCAGUUGCUCAGCCGGUCUCCUGACCGGCGUACUCUUCUGCGGCCAGGCCAGCAUCAGUUCGGGCGGUCGGAUAAAGACCUCGGGAAUGUGGCUCCCUUCGGGGAGUGUUAUAGCCCGGGGUGGAAUGCGGCCAGCCUGGACUGAGGAACUCGCUUCGGCUAGGAUGCUGGCGUAAUGGUUGUAAGCGGCCCGUCUUGAAACACGGACCAAGGAGUCUAACAUCUAUGCGAGUGUUUGGGUGUCAAACCCAUACGCGAAAUGAAAGUGAACGGAGGUGGGAACCCUCACGGGUGCACCAUCGGCCGAUCCUGAUGUCUUCGGAUGGAUUUGAGCAAGAGCAUAGCUGUUGGGACCCGAAAGAUGGUGAACUAUACCUGAAUAGGGUGAAGCCAGAGGAAACUCUGGUGGAGGCUCGCAGCGGUUCUGACGUGCAAAUCGAUCGUCAAAUUUGGGUAUAGGGGCGAAAGACUAAUCGAACCAUCUAGUAGCUGGUUCCUGCCGAAUUUCCCCUCU